AUUGAACGCUGGCGGCAGGCCUAACACAUGCAAGUCGAGCGAGCGGCGGACGGGUGAGUAAUGUCUGGGAAACUGCGUGAUGGAGGGGGAUAACACUUGGAAACGGUAGCUAAUACCGCAUACCAUCAGAUGUGCCCCGAUGGGAUUAGCUCGUAGGUGGGGUAACGGCCCACCCAGGCGACGAUCCCUAGCUGGUCUGAGAGGAUGACCAGCCACAGUGGAACUGAGACACGGUCCAGACUCCUACGGGAGGCAGCAGUGGGGAAUAUUGCACAAUGGGCGCAAGCCGGAUGCAGCCAUGCCGCGUGUAUGAAGAAGGCCUUCGGGUUGUAAAGCACUUUCAGCGGGGAGGCGUUACCCGAAGAAGAAGCACCGGCUAACUCCGUGCCAGCAGCCGCGGUAAUAC
rnacentral:rRNA from 1 species